GUGGGGAAUAUUGGACAAUGGGCGAAAGCCUGAUCCAGCCAUGCCGCGUGUGUGAAGAAGGUCUUCGGAUUGUAAAGCACUUUAAGUUGGGAGGAAGGGCAGUAAGUUAAUACCUUGCUGUUUUGACGUUACCAACAGAAUAAGCACCGGCUAACUCUGUGCCAGCAGCCGCGGUAAUACGAAGGGUGCAAGCGUUAAUCGGAAUUACUGGGCGUAAAGCGCGCGUAGGUGGUUCAGCAAGUUGAAGGUGAAAUCCCCGGGCUCAACCUGGGAACUGCCUCCAAAACUACUGAGCUAGAGUACGGUAGAGGGUAGUGGAAUUUCCUGUGUAGCGGUGAAAUGCGUAGAUAUAGGAAGGAACACCAGUGGCGAAGGCGACUACCUGGACUGAUACUGACACUGAGGUGCGAAAGCGUGGGGAGCAAACAGGAUUAGAAACCCUAGUAGUCC
rnacentral:rRNA from 1 species